AGGCAGCCUCUUUGCAGAAGAUAUAGUAGCGAAGAAGGUGUUUAACUGCUCGGAUAUUAAUUGCCUUUUGCUCUUCAGACUUGCUGAUUUUUCAUUGAAGCUGGUCUAGUAAGCCUAAGCACAGU